rnacentral:rRNA from 1 species
CACGUAGGGCGCAAGCGUUGUCCGGAAUUACUGGGCGUAAAGAGCUCGUAGGCGGUUUGUCGCGUCUGCUGUGAAAUCCCGAGGCUCAACCUCGGGCCUGCAGUGGGUACGGGCAGACUGGAGUGCGGUAGGGGAGAAUGGAAUUCCUGGUGUAGCGGUGGAAUGCGCAGAUAUCAGGAGGAACACCGAUGGCGAAGGCAGUUCUCUGGGCCGUAACUGACGCUGAGGAGCGAAAGCGUGGGGAGCGAACAGG